UUCCGACUGCCAUCGAACUAAGAAGGAAUUUUAUUGUUUCUGUACUGCUCGAAGCUUACCAAUCGAAGCUCACCUAGACACCGCGAGAAAACACGGAUAUGCAGUUGAAAGCAAUCAGUUAUUGGAAUCGUAUUCUUGGCACUUACAGAAGCCAACAAUAAGAACCCGCUAUACUCAUCAGGAUGCAAGGGAGAUUCUUGUCCGAAACCAAAGGAUUUCUUUCAAGACAACAAGAAAUUUCGU